rnacentral:rRNA from 1 species
GGCUAUGGCCAUAGCACCCUGAAUAGGCCUGAUCCUAUCUGGUCUUAGAAGCUAACCAGGGUCAGGCCCAGUUCGUACUUGGAUGGGAGAAUUAUUCAGCAAUAACAGCUU